rnacentral:rRNA from 1 species
UGCGUAGGUGGUCUUGUAAGUCAGAAGUGAAAGGCUACGGCUUAACCGUAGUAAGCUUUUGAAACUGCAGGACUUGAGUGCAGGAGAGGAAAGUGGAAUUCCUAGUGUAGCGGUGAGAUGCGUAGAUAUUAGGAGGAACACCAGUGGCGAAGGCGACUUUCUGGACUGUUACUGACACUGAGGCACGAAAGCGUGGGGAGCGAACA